rnacentral:misc_RNA from 1 species
GUUGUGGCCAAGUUGAUGGGAUUGGAAGCUUUCCCAGGUUCCAUGUCAACCAAUGAGAAUCAGACAAGACAGAUCAAAACACACCCACACGUUGAAAAGAAUCCCUUCCUUUCAUCGUCAAGAAACACCGAUAAGAGCAAGCAAAAUCGAAUUCCUGGCUCCCAAAAAAUUGUUCACAGGGAACCUAUCUCGCCCUGGCUGAG